ACGCUCGACACCUACGGGAGGCAGCAGUGGGGAAUAUUGCACAAUGGGGGAAACCCUGAUGCAGCGACGCCGCGUGGAGGAAGAAGGUCUUCGGAUUGUAAACUCCUGUUGUUGGGAAAAAGNGGAUGGUAACCCAACAAGGAAGUGACGGCUAACUACGUGCCACAGCCGCGGUAAUCUGAGCGGGCUGGCAAGGC
rnacentral:rRNA from 1 species